GGCACCCUAACACUUACAAGUCGAACGGAUCCUUCGGGAUUAGUGGCGGACGGGUGAGUAUGGGAACGUGCCCUUUGGUUCGGAACAACUCAGGGAAACUUGAGCUAAUACCGGAUGUGCCCUUCGGGGGAAAGAUUUAUCGCCAUUGGAGCGGCCCGCGUCUGAUUAGCUAGUUGGUGGGGUAAAGGCCCACCAAUGCGACGAUCAGUAGCUGGUCUGAGAGGAUGAUCAGCCACAUUGGGACUGAGACACGGCCCAAACUCCUACGGGAGGCAGCAGUGGGGAAUCUUGCGCAAUGGGCGAAAGCCUGACGCAGCCAUGCCGCGUGAAUGAUGAAGGUCUUAGGAUUGUAAAAUUCUUUCACCGUGGGACGAUAAUGACGGUACCGGAGAAGAGCCCGGCUACUUCGUGCAGCAGCGGGAAAUCGAACGGGCUACGUGCUCGAAUACUGGCGUAAGGGACGUAGGCGACUGUUAGUAAAGGUGAAGCCAAGCUCACCUUGAAUUGC
rnacentral:rRNA from 1 species